AGACAACAAAAUGUUUAAUAUUAUUAUUUUGUCACCUUAGGUCGAUCGGUAUCUCACGUUUUUAAUUUAUUAAGAAUUUCAUUUCCUAAGUUUUUCUAGGUCACACCCAUUAUUUUUCCUGGGCCAUUAGCUCAGGUGGUUAGAGCGCACCCCUGAUAAGGGUGAGGUCCCUGGUUCAAGUCCAGGAUGGCCCAUAUCUCUAUGUUGGGGGUAUAGCUCAGUUGGUAGAGCGCCUGCUUUGCAAGCAGGAUGUCAGCGGUUCGAGUCCGCUUACCUCCACUGAUUACCACCUCUUCCAUAAAAUGUAAAAAGGAAAUGUUUUGAGUUGUGAUCAAAAUUCUGAAAGAUUCUAGCUUCCUAAUGAAAUCAUUAAGAUGCUGGACUCAUUGAAUUAAUUUCAUUGUUUUCAGAGAACCUUGACAACUGCAUAGAUUAUUUUUUUAAAGACAAUAAGCAUCUUAUAUGAUGCAGAUUUAUUAUUUGUGCGAAUGCAUUAAUAACAAUUCUAUUAAGCUGAUGCUUCAAUUUUGAAGUUAUU
rnacentral:tRNA from 1 species